rnacentral:ncRNA from 1 species
ACGUACAUAACUUCUUUAUGUCUAUAUAUGCGCUUCAAAGGGCGCCUGCAUGCACUUGCUGCACCAGAAUUUGUUGCACUGGGAAGGUGGUCCUUCGUGGGCUACCCCGAGGCAGGUAGGUGUAUGAGCAGACGUUUGCGGCAGCCAGCAGGGUCGCCACUGUGGAAAACUAUAUGUGUCUCAGGCAGGCUUGGGGUCUUGAAUACUGCAGCACUCACUAACAAGAUAGGAUGGCGGCUCUAUGUUGUGGCUGCUAGGAAUCCAGGGAUGAAUGAUAGGGACAGUUGGGGCAGUAGCGUGUUACUGUCACAAGUUAAAUUGUAAUAGUGGUUUUCAUAACGAACUGCCGCGAACGCGUUUGCCAAAGACGUCUUCGUCAAUCAAGAGCGAACGGUAGAGGCGCCAAGACGGCCAGAUACAGUCGUAGCCUUAACCGAUAACUACACCAAGU